UUGAUUUUCUUUGCAAUUGAGAUUCUCUCUAGAUUUCAACUUCGAAUUUUUGUUUCUAGGUUUAGUUCGAUUUCGAUUUUUCUCUUUUAGGUUUUAGAUAUUUGUUUUUGUUGUUUGCUUAGGGUUUCGAAGAACAUGAGAUUUCACGCGGGGAAAGGGACAUCUACGGACUUAAAGGCGAUCUUAGGAAGAGAUUGAACGAUUCAUGAUUUCUGGAGGCAAUGACAGAUGCUUCACACCCUACUUGCUUUUUAGAUACUAGAAAGAAUGCUUCUGCUUUACGUCUGUUGACAAGUGGGCAACUGGUGGGGACAGAAUCACAGAAUGUGUUUGUUUUGAUAUGGUGAUAAACCAUAUUUCAGUAUCUGGAGGUGUAGCAAAGGUCUUGAAAUGUGUGGAAGGACUUGAGUCAUGGUUAAAAAGUCUGUAAUCCUCAUCUGUAAUGUAGUUUGGGGUCUCCUCUGUCAAUGUUGGAGCUUUUCUUCUUGGUGCUGAAAAUAAGCAAAUGGGAGUACAUGUUAUCUCAUUCAGCCAAUGUAAGUUCUGAAGCCUCUAAGAUAUAAGAUGUUACAUCAGUACUUUGAGUACUAUCACGUUAUGAAUAAUUAGAAAUAUUAAAUGUUGGAAAAAUAGACAUCCCU